rnacentral:rRNA from 1 species
UACGUAGGGUGCAAGCGUUGUCCGGAAUUAUUGGGCGUAAAGAGCUCGUAGGCGGUCUGUCGCGUCGGCUGUGAAAACUCGGGGCUCAACCCCGAGCCUGCAGUCGAUACGGGCAGACUAGAGUGCUGUAGGGGAGACUGGAAUUCCUGGUGUAGCGGUGAAAUGCGCAGAUAUCGAGGAGGAACACCGGUGGCGAAGGCGGGUCUCUGGGCCUGUACUGACGCUGAGGAGCGAAAGCGUGGGGAGCGAACAGGAUUAGA